CCACCAUCACAGUGAGCACCACUACAGAGGAAACAAGAGAGAGAGAGAGGCAGGGCGAUAAAAAUGGAGAGGGGCACAGAGGGAAGAACCAAUUACAGAUGUUGUACAACAGCGAGUGUAAAGGUUCAUCAUGGCCACAUGAUGCCAGUGCUUAAUCCGGAGGGCAUGGUAGCGUUUCUAAACUUCUUACCAUGGAAACAGUCUCCUCAGUGACGAGCUUCAGGACGUCAAUCACAGAGAUGUAGCCCAACCUCUUAGCAAUCGCCAGGGCUGAAGUACCAUUCUGACAGAGAGGAGCAGACUGUAUCAGAUCUCUGAACAAAACAAACGUUAUGAAUCAAUAUGAGGUAGACAAGGUGUGUUCACGCUCACUGUUGUUGUCUCGUUGGGCUGAGCGCCGUGCUUCAGCAACAGUGUCACAAUGUCAGUGUGUCCCUGCUGAGCCGCCUGGUGCAGAGGAGUGUAACCAAGCUGGAGGAGAGAGAAAUUAAAAUAUAUUAAAAUUAAAUAUAUUUUUACUCAUUUAAUGUUUAAAUUAGCUGAUGAUAACAAGUUUUUACAAACAUCAAUUUAUUUCCUUAAAAUGCACAUAAGCAGUGUUCCAUUAUAUCACACACCUAGCAGAAGCACAUCACAUCAAGUCAAGUGCAUUUCAAGAAAAUUUUUAAUGCAAUGGACAAUUAUUAUCUGACUGGAGCUGAGAUUAGUUGAUCAGCAACACAUUAAUCAGCAAUAAUUCAAAUAAUUGGUUAAUUGUUUAAGUAAGUUUUUAAAGCCCAAAAUCCACUGGUUACAGUAUAUUUGCUGGUCUUCUAUGAUGAUAAACUGAAUAUCUUUGGGUUUUGGACUCUUAGUCAGAUAAAACAAGCAUGUGAACAUGUGACGGAUAUUUUUACUAUUGCCCGACAUUUUUACAGACUAAAUUAAGUAAUCAAGAAAAACACUGGUAACUCAGAAAGGAAGUCAUGAGUUAUAGUGUUAAAUCCAACCUUGCUCAGUCAACAACUGUAUUUCACAUUUGUGCAUAUUUCAUGUUAUCAGUAUAAAUAAACAAGCACCAAACCCUGCAUCUCAGACUUGAAAAUUAAA